rnacentral:rRNA from 1 species
ACACAUGCAAGUCGAGGGGCAGCAUCAUCAAAGCUUGCUUUGAUGGAUGGCGACCGGCGCACGGGUGAGUAACACGUAUCCAACCUGCCGACAACACUGGGAUAGCCUUUCGAAAGAAAGAUUAAUACCGGAUGGCAUAAUUAUUCCGCAUGGGAUAAUUAUUAAAGAAUUUCGGUCAUCGAUGGGGAUGCGUUCCAUUAGGUUGUUGGCGGGGUAACGGCCCACCAAGCCUUCGAUGGAUAGGGGUUCUGAGAGGAAGGUCCCCCACAUUGGAACUGAGACACGGUCCAAACUCCUACGGGAGGCAGCAGUGAGGAAUAUUGGUCAAUGGACGAGAGUCUGAACCAGCCAAGUAGCGUGAAGGAUGACUGCCCUAUGGGUUGUAAACUUCUUUUAUACGGGAAUAAAGUGAGGCACGUGUGCCUUUUUGUAUGUACCGUAUGAAUAAGGAUCGGCUAACUCCGUGCCAGCAGCCGCGGUAAUACGGAGGAUCCGAGCGUUAUCCGGAUUUAUUGGGUUUAAAGGGAGCGUAGGCGGACGCUUAAGUCAGUUGUGAAAGUUUGCGGCUCAACCGUAAAAUUGCAGUUGAUACUGGGUGUCUUGAGUACAGUAGAGGCAGGCGGAAUUCGUGGUGUAGCGGUGAAAUGCUUAGACAUCACGAAGAACUCCGAUUGCGAAGGCAGCUUGCUGGACUGUAACUGACGCUGAUGCUCGAAAGUGUGGGUAUCAAACAGGAUUAGAUACCCUGGUAGUCCACACAGUAAACGAUGAAUACUCGCUGUUUGCGAUAUACAGUAAGCGGCCAAGCGAAAGCGUUAAGUAUUCCACCUGGGGAGUACGCCGGCAACGGUGAAACUCAA